rnacentral:lncRNA from 1 species
GGAAGCUUCGUUCUUUCGCUCUUUGCAAUAAAUCCUGCUGCUGCUCGCUUUUUGGGUUCACACUGCCUUUAUGAGCUGUAACACGGCGAAGGUCUGCAGCUUCUCUCCUGAGCCAGCGAGACCACGAAUCCCACCAGAAGGAAGAAACUCCGAACACAUCUGAACAUCAGAAGGAACAAACUCCAGGCGCGCCACCUUAAGAGCUGUAACACUCACCGCAAGCGUCCGCGGUUUCAUUCUUGAAGUCAGUGAGACCAAGAACCCACCAAUUCUGGACACACUAUGGCAAAGCCCAGAAGAGGCAGGGUGAUGAUAUCUCCCAAAACCAGUGACUCUGAAGCCAUGGAAGUGCCACCAUACAGAAGCUAUAAUGGAAAACAGUCAAUCAAAACUGUGGCCUCUUAGAGAGGAAGGUGUGAAGCCUCUCCUCACAUUUCUGCAAUCUUCUGCUGGUGUUGCGGGAAGUCAGGGACCUCAAACAGAGGGACCAGCUGAAGCCAUGGCGGAAGAACAUAAAUUGUGAAUAUUUCGUGGACAUUUAUCACUUCCCCAAACAAUACUCUGGUGAUUUCCUAUGCCUGUCUUUACUUUAAUCUCUUAAUCCCGUCAUCUUCGUAAACUGAGGAGGAUGUAUGUUGCCUCAGGACCCUGUGAUGAUUGCGUUAACUGCACAAAUUGUUUGUAGAGCAUGUGUGUUUGAACAAUAUCAAAUCUGGGCACCUUAAGAAUAGGAUAACAGAGAUAUUCAGGGAACAAGGGAGAUAACCUUAAUGUCUGGCUGCCUGUGGGCCAGGCGGAGCAGAGCCAUAUGUCUCUCCUUUCAAAAGCAAAUAGGAGAAAUAUUGCCGAAUUCUUUUUCUCAGCAAGGAACAGCCCUGAGAAAGAGAAUGCGUGCCUAGGGGUAGGACUCUAACAUGGCUGCUCUGGGGAUGUCUGUCUUUUACAAUUGUAGAUAAGGGAUGAAAUAAGCCCCGAUCUCCUGUAGUGCUCCCAGGCUUAUUAGGAUGAGGAAAUUCCUGCCUAAUAAAUUUUAGUCAGACCGGUUGUCUGCUCUCAAACCCUGUCUCCUGGUAAGACGUUAUCAAUGACAAUGCAUGCUCGAAACUUUAUUAGCAAUUUUAAUUUCACCCUAGUCCUGUGAUCUCACCCUGCCUCCAUUUACCAUGUGAUGUUUUAUUACCUUGUGAAGCAUGUGACCUCUGUGACCCACACCCUAUUAAUACACUCCCUCCCCUUUUGAAAAUCACUAAUAAAACUUGCUGGUUUUAUGGCUCAGGGGGCAUCAUGGAACCUGCCGACAUGUGAUGUCUUCCCCAGACACCCAGCUUUAAAAUUUCUCUCUUUUGUACUCUUUCCCUUUAUUUCUCAGACCAGCUGACACUUAGGGAAAAUAGAAAAGGACCCACGUGAAAUAUCGGGGGCUGAAUUUCCCCU